GCUUUCGUGGUGUAACGGUAGCACACUCGGCGCGUAUUCGAGAGGUCCAGGUUCGAGUCCUGUCGAGGACA
rnacentral:tRNA from 1 species